rnacentral:rRNA from 1 species
CUACGGGUCGCACCAGUGAGGAAUAUUGCACAAUGGGGGGAACCCUGAUGCAGCAACGCCGCGUGGAGGAUGACGCAUUUCGGUGUGUAAACUCCUUUUAUAUGUCAAGAAAAUGACGGUAGCAUAUGAAUAAGCACCGGCUAACUCCGUGCCAGCAGCCGCGGUAAUACGGAGGGUGCAAGCGUUACUCGGAAUCACUGGGCGUAAAGGACGCGUAGGCGGGUUGGAAAGUCAGGUGUGAAAUCCUACAGCUUAACUGUAGAACUGCGCUUGAAACUUCUAAUCUAGAGUAUGGGAGAGGGAGAUGGAAUUAGUGGUGUAGGGGUAAAAUCCGUAGAUAUCACUAGGAAUACCUAAAGCGAAGGCGAUCUCCUGGAACAUUACUGACGCUAAGGCGUGAAAGCGUGGGGAGCAAACAGGAUUAGAUACCCCCGUAGUC